rnacentral:other from 1 species
GAUUCACCACUGGACGGUGGUUUCAGGAUGAAGAUGGCGAUAACGGAUACAUCGUCACACGGAUGGCAGGAUUUCGAACGGAAUCGACAGUUUACACGGAGUAAACUGGCAAGGACUGCACAGGACACCUCGGGAUGAGGUCGGAACCCCAUCAGGAUGAUGGCAAGGACACCGCUCAGGGAACAAGUGAUGUGUGCUGAUCAGGAACGGUUGGCAAUAGGGAAUAACGGACACCGCUAGGACGGCGAUGCGAGGACGAGGCAGAAGGAUUCUGUCACUAUUAUGGAUGAUGCAUGGAGCAAUCAUCAGUAGCCGGACUGCUGCGAGUAAGACUUAAGCCCCGAUACCUCGUGUAUCGGGGCUUUUCUUAAUC